rnacentral:rRNA from 1 species
GAUGAACGCUAGCGGCAGGCCUAAUACAUGCAAGUCGGACGGGAUUCCGGAGCUUGCUUCUGAUGAGAGUGGCGCACGGGUGCGUAACACGUAUGUAACCUACCUUUAUCAGGGGGAUAGCCUCUCGAAAGAGAGAUUAAGCCCGCAUAAAAUCACAGCACAGCAAUGUGUAAUGAUCAAAUAUUUAUGGGAUAAAGAUGGGCAUGCGGAACAUUAGCUAGAUGGCGGGGUAACGGCCCACCAAGGCGACGAUGGUGAGGGGAUCGGAGGAGAAGGCACCCCACACUGGUACUGCGGCACGGACCAGACUGGUACGGGAGGGAGCAGUAAGGAAUAUUGGGCGAUGGGGGCAAGCCCGAACCAGCCAUGCCGGGUGCAGGAAGACGGCGCUACGGGUGGUAAUCUGUUUGGAUACGAGAAUAAACCCAGAUACGUGUAUCUGGCUGACUGUACUGGAAGAAUAAGGAUCGGCUAACUCCGUG